UACGUAGGGGGCAAGCGUUGUCCGGAUUUAUUGGGCGUAAAGAGCGUGUAGGCUGCCAAGCAGGUCCGCUGUGAAAACUCGAGGCUCAACCUCGAGACGUCGGUGGAAACCGUUUGGCUAGAGUCCGGAAGAGGAGAGUGGAAUUCCCGGUGUAGCGGUGAAAUGCGCAGAUAUCGGGAAGAACACCCGUGGCGAAGGCGGCUCUCUGGGACGGUACUGACGCUGAGACGCGAAAGCGUGGGGAGCGAACAGG
rnacentral:rRNA from 1 species